AGGUAUUUCUUGGAAAAAAUGGUGCUCGAACGAGAUGUUGAAGGAAAUGAAUUUCCACAUCUAGUUUAUGUUUCUCAAGAACAACCGAGAUUUGAUCACCACGAAAAAGCUGAGGCCUUGAAUUCUUCGUUUAUCAAGGUUAUCCGAUGCAUCAGUUUGUGGAUAAAGAGGGAAUAUGGAAAAUUCAAGGUUAGGAUAAAUGGCUUGGAAGGUACCCGAGGUGGGUUGGAAGGUAUUUUGUACUCUGUUGGCUCAGAAGGUACCCGAGGUGGGUUGGAACACCAUGGCCAGGGAAUAAUGUACGGAUCAUCCGAGAGUGAUCCAGAUUGAGAUGGAAGUAGUUGAGUUGCAGAAAAGGAAUCUCGCAUGCCAACAUUCUUCUGCAGAAGUAUCUGUGAUGCAUGAAGAAGAACACUGCUCUAAAACCUGGAAUAUUUGAGAAUUUCAACAUCCUAAUCCAGUUGAGAUAUCAUGAAGACAGAAGCAGAUGGAUGAAAUCAUUUGAGGUUUCCUUUUAAUAGAUGCAGUGACCACCCUUUCCUCCUUUUCUCCACUCUGAUCUUGAGGAGGGCAUCAGAUGCCUGGUUCUUGUUCUGGGAAGGUUUGGGAUCGACCACUGGGCUGGAGUUUGUUUCUGUGGGAACAGUUAUCUUUCUAGCCACUGCCCAUCUGAUGGAAGUGCCUACCAUUAUCCAUAUAUUCCUUUGCUUGAUGUUCUUGUUGUCCCAUGUGCUGCAAUUCUUGGCCUUGUGGUCACCGGACUCUAUGGGAAUUAAGGAGGUUCCUUAUCAACAAUUCUUUUCCUUUCCAUGGAAUUUAAUCUUUGUUUAGUCUUUCAAUUCAAACAUUUUUCCUUGCAGUUGGUUCUGUUAUGUAUGCUAUGGUUUGCAUUCGUCCAAACGUUUCACAGGCUGUCAGUGUGGUGAGCAGAUACUUGUCAUGUCCAGAUUAUGCAGAUGAUCUUGGCAAGAGGAGGUCACUCAUAGGUUAUGUAUUUACUCUUGGAGGAAAGUACAGUUAGUUGGAAAACUACUUUACAAGCUACAAUUGCAUUAUCUACUACUAAAGCAGAGUAUAUGGCAAUGACUAAGGCAAUUAAAGAAGCUAUUUGGCUUAGAGGUUUGUUGGGAGAACUUAGCAUGGAUCAUGGGGUGACUGUUGUCCAUUGUGAUAGCUAGAGUGUUAUUCACUUGACCAAAGAUCCGAUGUAUCAUGAGGACAAAGUACAUUGAUGUUCGGUAUCAUUUCAGUAAAGAGAUAAUUGUUAAGGUAA